rnacentral:snoRNA from 1 species
UCCCUAUGAAGAAAUAGUCACGUGUCUUACUUCCUGUCCUAGCCCCAGAGCCUGAAAAGGUGAACCCACUGGGGCUGGCUGGGAGAAAAGAGGAAAAUUUGUUCCAGAAGGAACUGUCUGAGGGAU